UCAUCUUGUUAUCCUUACAUAUACACACGCAAUAAUAUUGCUUAAUUCUUUCAAUAACAGCUACUGGCCUGUUGGGACAUGAGGUCAAGUAGUAGAGCAUUAGAGGAAGAAGACACGACAGACAUGACAAAACUGCAAAGAUCGCUGUUAAAGAGCUGCAUUCCUCUCCAGUUACUGCCGAGGCAGAAAAAAGCUGGAGCCAAGACACAAAGGAGACUGAGGGGGAGGCCAUUUCCCUGCUUUUAAGGCUGAUCAAUAAUAAGCUCAUGUAAGACUGCAGGGAGAACAGCGAAGGAGCCAAGUUUGGCAUCGCUUCCAGCCAUGUGUAGAGCUUCUAAACUGAGUACAGGGAACUCGUUAGAUUGCAAAUAGUGUGUUAAGCAGAUGCAUUACACCUGUCUGCGUGUGUGUGUGUGUGCGUGUGUUCACAUCACAUGCUUUAAUUCUCGAGCCUGGGGGCAGUCGUUCUGCUGGUGUCAGAUAGGACAGGUCUUUUAAUCACAGAGACCAAGUCAAUGAGUCACAGUGGGAGACAGGAGUCACCUCUCUGACAACAGCAGUGAAUCAUAAUGCAGAUGGAUUCAUGAGCCUCGUCAUAACCCAAGGAUACGAACCAACAGAUGUGCACUGAAAGUGGCCAGUGGAGAUAACUCUGUACGAGAGGAACAGAAGCAAGUUUCUACUGACUGCAAAUGUAAAGGCAGCUUAAAGCUGGAACACACUACUGAACCAUUUUCUCAACUGGGUCAAACUGCUGAACUUUCGACCAACUGACUGCACUUCUGUGUCAACAUUUACAUUCCACAGGGAGAAAUGACAAUGAACAUGAGUGGAGCUGCAUUCCAGUCUUCACCUAUUAUAUGAGGUGACAUGAGCUGUUUGGGCCACAAUGGAGGGCCAGCAGGAGCAACAUCCAUGUAGAGGAAGGAAUGUGACUGGAGGAGGGUAAAAGCUGCAAAUGGGAGCGAGACACAACUGUUCACUAAGAGGUCUGGGCUGGAAGCCAGCGAAGCAAAGGGCAGCAGUAGGAUUUUAGACAGAGUCCAAAUGACAUGUCCUGAAAUGUAGGCCUUGAACUCCUCCUCACAGGGCAAACUACAUAACACACCAAGAGAGUAUACCAGGUGUCUAUCCUGGAAAUGAAAUGAAAUAGUGCGGUUUUCUGAAUUAAUAUCAGAGUGUUGUGUUACUUAUCUUAUGAAAGGGAAAUCUGUUUGUGACAGGAGAAACAUCAAAAAAUAAAAAACCACUGGCAUGUCAUAUCAAACAUCUUAAGAUUAAGUGAUGAUGUCAAGACACAGUGAAUGUGUUGGGAAUCUAGUUACAUUACUUAUAUAAUCCACUAGAUGGCAAUACAAGCAUAAUACAUUACAGACAGAUGUCAGAGUGAAAUCUCCUUCUGCGGCAUACUGGAAAACUUCCUCUUUACUAUGUGAUGUAUUUUCCCAUGUUGUGCAAUUAUAGUAUGAAACAUUUCUGUUUUUAGUUGUGUUAAUGCCUCUCUUGGCCAAGUUUCCCUUGAAAACAACCACACACUUUUUUAAAAUUCAACUACCAGCUGCAUUUGUGUUUCAACAAGCAGCACAGAUGUCUGGUGCUUUAAUCUUUAAUCUUCUUUAAUGAACAUCACAACCUUUCCAGAAGAAGAUACUGUUCUAAAUGUAAAUCAAAUAACCAUAGCACUGAAAAUCUAACUAGACAUCACGUCUGAGCUUUAAAGAAGAAUCUGGGGGUUUACAUGACUGCAGAGAUAGUUUAUAUUCUUUCCUUAUUCAUUCAUAUUACACAAUGUGAUUUUUUUAAAGCCCAUAUUUGUUUCAUUUUUUUUGUUUAAAUAUUGGUUUUAGACAAACACUUAAUGGGAUGUAGUAUUCUCCAUCAGCUGCUGGCAACAUGGAUGAAAAAUCCUCAACAUGCUAAGAAAAUUUCACAUGUUCACAUGCAUACAGCUGAGCCAAGACAAUAAACUCUUGCUGACAAAGACAGUGUGAUAUGGUCAGAAGCUCUAAGCGAGUCAGUGGACCAUGAGUUGAACUUGUUUUGCCUGCAAUGAACUGUCAGGCUCAACAUUUAAGGUACAGGAAGAUAAAAAUGUACAGAAAAGAUCAUUGAAAUGAAAGUUGAAUGAAUGAAAGUUGAAGUUUAAUGGUGAAUACAAAAUUAAAUUGUGGUUUUAACAUUUGAUAAGAUAUAGUUUUCAAUGAACAUAAUUCUGAAAUGUAAUUAUCUUUCAUAAUAAACUAUAGAGAUUUUCAGUUGGGUGGAAUUUGCUGGAUUAAUUUGGACACAUGACCUCAGCAGGCUAUUACAGCCCUGCUAGGCCUGGAACAUCUCCUCUGGACAAAAUGAAAAAACACUAAAUAGAAUAUCAUAUAGCUUAAUGCUCAUUACCUCCAGGUAGCAGUUAGUAUUUUAAUUUGGAUUUUUCUUUUAAUUCAGUAGACCUGGGGUUAGUUUAUCCCACUUUCUUUCCCACCACAGCAGUGCUUGUUUGUAAAUAGGCCCGGGUCACACGCAGCAGCUCGAUAAACUCGAUAUCCCUCUUGUUUUGACUGUCCCUGAACGUGUCAUUGCAGUUACUGUCAUUCACACUUAAAGAGAGAUGAGUGAAGAUGAGUGUUUGUGUGUUUACGGAGCUGAUAUCCUCUCCUCUCCUCUCUCCACCUGGCCUGGCCUGGCUCUGACACCGCGGACCCGUGGCUCUGCUUGAAAACAAACUGCUGCGGCGGCGGCUCCGGUUACCGGGCCCCGAUCGAUGCGCUGCAGGGUGUCGCGUUGCCCGGAGGGUUGAGUAUCGAUGCAUGACCGAUCGCUAUCAUAAUCACACUUCCCCCCUCUUAUCGCUUACCUACUGAAUAAAACAUCUGCCUUCCUGCUCAUGGAUCGCUCACCGCGCCUAAAAUCUGGAGGGAGAGGGACUUCUUGAAGUGUCUUUGAGAUGAGUGGAGUAACAUGAGAAAAGCGCACGAUGAUACCCAACACACGAGGUCCCCAAAGUUGUUUCUAUCGCAGGCAUCUCCAAAUAGACCCACCAGCUAUUUGACAGCACUUUGUCCCAGGAUGCUGCAGCUCAGAGAGUAAGUACUGAGAUGUGAUUGGUCAUGUCAAACAGUACUGAGGACAGUCUGCAGGCUCAGUGUAGCGGUCAUACUUAAAGACUGUCUAUAGAACACGCUCAAGGCUGGUCCAGGGCUUUUUGAGACCUCAUACAGAUUUAAUCUGGGGGUCCAGAGGUGGUCAAAGGCCUGCACACCUGCUCAGUUCUCUUGAUAUGUGAGUCAGAAUCUGAGCUGAGGAUCUGCAGGUCAACAAGAUCCUGCAUCUGCACAAAAUACAGACUAAUGACAAAUUACAUAGCUGUUAUAAUGACAGCAGAGUUAUAAUGAGAGCUCACUGAAUGGUUGGAAUAUGAAAUCAUAUGCUACGGCCUUCACAGUCAACUACAUCUCAGCCCACUUCACCACCUGUGGGAAACUUUAGACCAACCUGAAAGUCAGCAAUCUGCACCACCAUCAUCAAAACACCAAAAGAGAGAAUAUCAUCCUCAUGGUGGUCUGACACUUACUUGAACACCUUAAAGGAGAGAGAGAGAGAGAGAGUUAUUUCAUCUUUACACAUGAUUCAAUUGUUUUAAUAGCCUUUUACAUGAGACCAAACAACUGUAAAUUGACAUGGAUGAUUAGCUUCAGGGAUAAUAAAAAAGUUUUGACCCUAAAUGUCAUAACAUGAAUGCAAUUUAAUUAUGACUGACAUUCAGUUUUUAUUUUAUGGGUUAAAGUAAAUUAUAGUGGUUAAACUUUUGAUGUUUUCUUUAUUGAGUGCAAACAUUUAACUCGUUUUUGUUAAAUAUUAGACAAACAGUAUGUUUAAUUAAUCAUAGAAAUAUAAACUUGCUGUGAGCUCAGGUGGCAGUGAAACACUAAGUCAGGCCUUUCAUGCAGAUUUGGUUGAUUAUUACAGUGCAGAACUUUUUUUCCACUUUAAACCAAAGCAUCAUUGGUGCAUAAAUGGUAAUGUAUGUUAUGACAGAAAAUAGAUAUCACAUUUACAUUUCAUUUUAAAUAAUCUAUCCUCACUGUAAUCACCAUAUCAAUUCUCCAUUCAGUGUACAUUAAAACAAAAUAUAUUCAUUUUUCCAGUCAGCCUUGUAUACAGCAGGUUUUCAGCUGUUUGCUGGUUGAAUGUGAAAUUUGUGUUUAAAUUAUGACAUUAACUCAUUAAAACACAUUUUUAAAGAUUUUGUUGCAACACAACAGUAAGGUAACAAUCGUGGGAAAAAAAUACACAGUUUUGACAGUUUGUUGUUACUAUUCUUACCAUGUGUUGAGUAGUUUGAUGUAUCUGAAUGUUACCUCAGCAGAGUAGACGGCACCUGCAGAUUAUCUGUUCUUAAAAUAAAGAAUGAGCUCAAAUGCUAGAAAUAGUUAUUAGUUACCUUGUAAAGCUUCAUGUGCAUUUAAGUUUCCUUUAAUUGAAAAUGCAAGAGGAAAACCUACAGUAAAUAUUUCAGUAUUUAUUUAAACUGUGACAGAGGUGAUGAGGUGACUCAUACCGACCUCCUGGUGGCCACAGGGCUCUAAGCAGCUGCCCUGUGUCCUUAUGCCCUGAGCUGCCUGUGCAAGAACUUGUCAAUUUCCCGGCCUCUGCAACAUGAUCUCUCUCUCAAACUUUUGGUGGAAGUCAAGAUUUGCCUAAAGCGAGAGUACAAAUGGUAGCAUUACAUUAGUCAGAGAGGUCAUAAAAGUUCACUGCAUUUCAAAUCCAGUGCUCAGUAUGAUUCUGAUCCCUCUGACCCAGCAGGCUUCACCUGAGAGCUGUAAAUCAGUGAGGUCUUGUUGUUCACACACAGAGAUACUCCACAGGUGCUGGCCUCAGGCACGCUAGGGUUAACACUGAGAGGAGUUAUGUGUUGUGUAAGGUUAGGUAUGAAACAUCAGAUGUUAAAGAUGUUAGGACCACAGAAUACUGUAGAGGGAAGGUAGGUUUAGGCUACUUCAUAAUGAUAAAUUAGACUUUAUGUGUGAACAUAAGAUGCUUCUGCACACAUAAAAAAAACUUUCGGAGAGGUGUACUCUAAAUAUAAGGCCAGAGAGGAAGUAAACACUGAUUCAGUAACGAUGCCAUGUCAGCUUUCCAAAAACUGUUAAAUACACAGACAAGCUUUUUAUUUACUCACGCAAUCAAAAUCCCAUAUACUUGACCACUAAAUCUGAGAGCACCAAAGAGCAGAGGUUAGGUGCCAACUGUCAGAGAGAGGUAAGGCGAGACUGGCUGCUGAGCUAUUAAGACAAUUAACAAAGUGGUCAGAAGGGGCCGAGCAGCAGAGAGGAACAGCCUGAAAUGGAGAGAGAGAUGAGGGUGUGAAGUGACAGUCAGCACAUCUGGUCUCAUCAAUAAUGCAGUGGGCCUUUAAACGGCAGUUUGUCACAUAUUGAGCGCUGCUGACUGAAAUCAAGCCCGACACCUUAGAUGCUGUCAGGGGAGAGUGAAAGGGUGACAGUGGGAGAGAGAGGGAGCAGGGGGAUGCAAAAAUACCCAGAAAAAAGAAGGGAGACAAACCUUUUUUGCCAAGGCUCUCACUAUCUGACAUAGCGUGUUAUUAAAUGAGCGACACGUAAGAAAAUAAUGUAAUCUCCUAAUACUCAGUAAUUAAAAAGAAUUAAAACAACUUAAAUGAAAUCAUCAAUCUAAAUGUUUGAUAUAUAUAUUAUCUAAUAUAUAUAUUGUCUAUACAUUAUCAAACUAGGUUUAAAUCAUGUUUUAAUCGCAAGGAGAAACUAAGGAGCUAAAAGCAAGUAAAGACCUGCACAACUCUUGAAUCUAUUCAUCACUUUUAUUAUUAAAAUGAAAAAGACAGAAGACUUUUUUAGACAAAGAAAAAUCAGGUACUAUUGCACCUAAUCAACUCUAGCAGAAACAUCAUUUUGUUGACGGUAUGUUUCUGUCUUAAUAGUGAAUGCAGUGAUCCAACUAAAAAACAAAAAACCUUAUAUCAACUUACAUCAAUGACAGUCCACUGCCUUCAAAUCUUUCAAAUAAAGAAAAAGAGAGAAA